GAAAUCUGGACGUUGGUGAAGAAUUGAUAAGUGGGUCGUUGAGAUUUUGGAGGUUCAUUGCUGAAUUCGUUUGUGGGUCUGCUGAAAUUGUGUUUGUUUGAAGGAGGAAAUUGAAAUAUUGGGGUCUUGUUUUUGGUGGUUGUUUAUGGUUUUGGGUGUAUUUGGGAGGUUUUAGUAGAUUUCAGAAAGAUUGGGGUUUUUUUCUGUAGCAUACAAGAAUCUGAUUGUGUUGAGGAG
rnacentral:misc_RNA from 1 species